UCGUCACUGUUGGUUUUGUUUGUUUUUAGUAUAGGGCUGGGGCUGGGCCUGGGUUUGACCAUUUAGAAGGCUGGGUUUUGAUCUGAUUCAUUCUGUUUACUUUGCAACACACUAGGAAGUUUGGGAGUGAUGCAUUAACAGAGUGGUGUCACACGUCAGCAAGAUCAGAGAAGUCGAUUCACCAUGCCAACUAUCCUGCUGGAACAUUCCAUGGUAGGGAACAACCAACCGGCUCUCUCUCUCCUCUGCCUAUAUCUACACUCCUGUCCUGAGAGGACCUCAGACUGUGGCUAGGUCAUGCUGGACAUCCUCAGAAGCCUUGCAGAGACCUCACCAUAACACAGCACCUUCCAAUAACUGUGUGUGAAGACCACAAUACAACUCCGAGAUAACUCCUGUCAGCAGAAGGCAAGACAACAAGCUAUCAAGGCUGAGAGAUGCGACUCCUGCUCUGUGGUGUCCUCGCGGUCCUUCUCACAGCCUCCUCAUGUGGCCCUGUUUUUGAAGGGUCUGGGGACCAGAGUGGCUCAUUGCUUGAUUGGCUGAAAUUGUUUCAGUGGCAACCCUCUGAAGUAGUCUCCAAUCACAUCUAUGGAAGGGAGCCAAGAUACUGGAAAUCUUCCGAAUCUUCCGAAUCCUCAGAAUCUUCUGAAUCUUCAGAAUCUUCAGAAUCUUCAGAAUCUUCAGAAUCUUCAGAAUCUUCCAAAUCUUCAGAAUCCUCAGAAUCUUCAGAAUCCUCAGAGAUCACGGCAAAACCACUGACUCCUAAACCCACAGUUCCAGUGACCCGUCCCACUUCUGCCACAACUGCCACUACAACAAGAACCAGGCCAGUCACCAAUUCAACAAUGUCACCGACCCCCACACCUUCCUCCACAACAAUGUCACCGACCCCCACACCUUCCUCCACAACAAUGUCACCUACCACUGCAGAAAUGUCCACUGAGGGACCUCUGGAGACUCCUUCACCAGGGACAACAGCUGGCAUGACGACCAACGGUGUGACAGAUGAGAUGCCGACACCUGCUCCUGUCACAGAGAGCAGAGGGGACAACUGACAUGGGACUCAUCGGGAGACCAAUCAGAGAUCAGGGUAAAACAACAAACUGAAUAUAAAGCUGUCGUUUUCCUCAACAGCCUGAUUGUGUCAUGCUCUGCCCUACGUGUCCCAUCUAACUUAUUAAACUUGUAUCCAACUGAAUUGGUCCCACAGAUACUGAGUGAAUCAAAGGGCCAAGGCUGUUGUAAUUGUAUUGAUUGCACUGAGGAAGGUAAAGGUGCUUCCUGUCAUGAAGUAUCUUACCAGUGGGUUCUAUAUGAUGUGAUGUCAGACCUGUUCUGAUCUUCAUGUUGACACAGGUUACUGGGAGAUGAGUGUGGAGUUGUCUGUACAUGUAUGUUGGGCGUGGAACUGGGCCAGGAGUGGGAUUACUUGGAGGGAGCAUGGAGGGGACUGUACCAUUUGUAAAGGGGUUUGGUUUCAAACCCAGACCAUAAGAGCUAAGCUUGUGACUACUGCUGGAGGGGACGACUGCAUCUGUGAGUUCUGUUUCCUCAUGCUGCCUGCUGAGUUGUGGAUGUGUUCUAGGUCUGUGCUCCUCUCAUCUCACCCCUGAACAGAUAAACACACCCAGGAAGUCUUCAGUGUCUUCUCUUGUUUUAAAAAAGAAAGGAUUGAAAGAAGACUGUUACUUUGUAAUGCUGCAUUUGAAUGUAAUAAAGGCGAACAAAAAAAACAUUUGUUUUCA